rnacentral:rRNA from 1 species
UACGGAGGAUGCAAGUGUUAUCCGGAAUCACUGGGCGUAAAGCGUCUGUAGGUGGUUUAAUAAGUCAACUGUUAAAUCUUGAGGCUCAACCUCAAAAUCGCAGUCGAAACUAUUAGGCUAGAGUAUAGUAGGGGUAAAGGGAAUUUCCAGUGGAGCGGUGAAAUGCGUAGAGAUUGGAAAGAACACCGAUGGCGAAGGCACCUUACUGGGCUAUUACUAACACUCAGAGACGAAAGCUAGGGUAGCAAAUGGG